CGUCUGGAAAGGGCUCCAUGCUGGAGAGAUCUGUUAUCGGGUUGGCUGGAGCUGGAGAAGCCUGAAACCUGGAGCCUGCAACUGAAGUCUGACGACAGAAACAAGAAAGCCGUCUGAUCCGCUGUGGGAGGAAUUCGGGACCAAGAAGAAUGGAUAGACGAAGAUUUACAAAGGAACCACUUUCAACAGGCUCAAGGGAUAGUGGGGAGGGAGUGUGGAGUACAUCACCCAGAUUCAGAGAGCUGUAAUUUGGAGCUGCUGUCCUUUCGUCGAAAGCUCAUAAUCAAUGGAUGAUCGUAGUUGAUUGUAGAAAUAAGCUUCACAUAUUGCUUCAUACUGUACAACAAGAAACAUCUCACUGAGCCAAGAAAGAGAAUGAAAUUCCUGCAACCACCCCCAACCGAAGACUGGUGACCACACUCUGGCAUUCGCACACACGCACACUCACCGACAACUGACAGCAGCCUGAUGGAUGAUGGAUAGACAAGGGUGGACAGGACGUUGACAAAGCGAGACUGGCCACAAACCACCCUCUACCAUCUACCAUCUACCCUCUACCUCGCAGCCCUUGAGUAACAACCCCUAGGAGAGCGACAACCACCCCAAGCCUCACCGGACAUGACGGUCAGGUCGGGAGGGGAAGGAAGUGUAGGGUAGUGGGGGGAGAAGGGGCUGAGCCAGAGGGGAAUCCCGACCGAAUCGAAAAACGUCCCUGCAGACAUUACUUUGAUAAAUAACGAAAAUCAAAAAUCGCCGGAUGAAGAAUCAAAUCAUUUGUUUUUUGCUUUGUUUUCCGGUUCUGCAUUUUUCAGCUGUUAUUCUGCGUGACGGUGUUUAUUCAAUGGUUGUCGGCGUGUUGAGGCAUUCGGCACCCUUUCUAAUCAUCAGUGGUCUCCAACUAGAUAUGGGAUUCAUGAGGAACAUAAAAAAGGAGCACACAUCUAUUGUAUCACUUGAAGAAUUUGUAUAAUCAUGAACGAGAAUUCCAUUA